AUGAAAUUCCUCUUCAUUUUUUCUCAAUCAAACACAAAAAUUUCUUGUGCCAUAUUCUCCUAUAUCCAUCGUCCUUUCAAAUGGCUCCCUCCGCAACCACCGUAUUCCUUCUCCGCUAACAACCUUCGAAAACCCACACCGGAUUCCACCCUUUCCAUUGUAAACCUUCUUCAUUCUUCCGAACAGACCACAAAAUCAUCAUACUCCCCCAGUCUGUUCAUUCGAGUUAAUAUCCCUGCUAACUCCCUCACCUCUAUCAAUUGUUUCUCAAGACAGAUCAAGUAG